rnacentral:rRNA from 1 species
UACGGAGGGGGCUAGCGUUGUUCGGAAUUACUGGGCGUAAAGCGCACGUAGGCGGACUGUUAAGUCGGGGGUGAAAUCCUGGGGCUCAACCUCAGAAUUGCCUCCGAUACUGGCAAUCUCGAGUGCGGGAGAGGUGAGUGGAAUUCCCAGUGUAGAGGUGAAAUUCGUAGAUAUUGGGAAGAACACCAGUGGCGAAGGCGGCUCACUGGCCCGUAACUGACGCUGAGGUGCGAAAGCGUGGGGAGCAAACAGG